UAGCUACAGUGCAUGCUAACUCAAAUGAGCUGCUAACGUAGCUAGCUAUCUAGCCGACUUUACAUACUGUAUAGGUAGCUGGCUAAGUGAAUUACAUUUGACCAGCUACCUAACUUCAUAUUAGCUAGCUAACUUGAUGUAUUUAUCACUGUAAAAAAACAACAACUCCCAAAUGCAUUUGUAGGUAGCUAGCUAAUAGCCAUGGAGGAGGGUGAAAGGAUAGCAGCCCCAUCUGCCAAAGUGAGAGAGUAGGCUGUUCUGGAGAGGGCAGGUUCUGUUGUGUAGUUCCAGUCCCUAGAAGUGAGGCCGGAGAUAACAGUAACAUAAUAUUCAGAGCGGUCUAAUUUUAGUAUAGUGAAGUCUGUUUCUUGUGAGGUUUUCUGUCCUCAGGUACAGAGAGCAGUGAAAGCCUGUCUGCAGAUGAAGAGGUCCCGAUGAAGAGCAGUGGUUCUCUGUUGUGGUCCUGGGGACUCGAAGGGGUUGCACGUUUUUUUGCCUUAGCACUACACAGCUGGUUCAAAUGAUCAAGCUUCAAGUGAUACCUUGUAACUGGAGAUUCCUUCAAAACGAUUGCCUUCAGUUACUGUGUAGGGCACUGCAAGGUUGGGUGACCAGGGCCAACUGGGACUGCCUCCUGGGGGAAUUCAGGCCUGUGUGUGAAGGCUUCCUGUGUCCUGCAUAACUAUCAUGAGGAUGGACGCGAGGACCAGGAGGGGACCUGCAGCUCGCCGCCGUGUGCCAGAGGAGAGGUCUGCUGCUCUGCAGGAUGUUACCAGGAUGGGGGCCAACAACGCAGCACAGGAGGCACAGGAGGCAAUCCGUGUGCGGGAGAUCUUCACCUCCUACUUCUUCGAAGGGUGCUGUUCCCUGGCAACACCACAGACUACACUAUGCACAACCAAAGGCUCUUUUAAGAGUCCCCCAUAUUGAAAACAAUUAGACACCCUAUAACCCACACCUACACACUCAAUCUGAUUGAUGGAUUGUGCAGUAAGCAGGCUCAGGUGUAGAACUGUGGCUCCUUCCACCUCCAAAAGGACAGGCCAGAGGACCAACCAUGGAGAAUAGUGAUAUCAGCUGUGUCGGUGAACCCCUCCCGCAUCUGAACUGGCUACACAGAGGGCACAGCAUGAUCAGAGGUAUGUUUUGAUGGGUGCCAAACUCCAGUCCAGUCCAUCUCACCCGCUCUUAAGAUCACCUUCUGGCCAACUGGGGGCCCAAGGCUGUUAGGAGACACCGCUAGAGACACUAUUAUGUAAUUGUGAUGACCUGAGAGAAUAUUAGGGUAGCACUGUAAUUCAUUAAUCAUAUGCUGUCUUCCCUAGUAGCACUGUAAUUCAUUAAUCAUAUGCUGUCUU